rnacentral:rRNA from 1 species
AGUAACACAUGGGUACCUGCCUUCCAGUGAGGAAUACCGGCGAGAAAUCGCCGACAAGACCGCAUGAGCUUGGGGGGUUCCCCCCCAAGGAAAGCUUCGCAAGAGGCGCUGGAAGAGGGGCCUGUGGCCGAUUAGCUGGUUGGUGGGGUAACGGCUCACCAAGGCUGCGAUCGGUAGCUGGUCUGAGAGGACGAGCAGCCACACUGGGAUUGAGAACGGCCCAG